UACGUAGGGCGCAAGCGUUAUCCGGAAUUAUUGGGCGUAAAGAGCUCGUAGGCGGUUUGUCGCGUCUGCCGUGAAAGUCCGGGGCUCAACUCCGGAUCUGCGGUGGGUACGGGCAGACUAGAGUGAUGUAGGGGAGACUGGAAUUCCUGGGUGUAGCGGUGAAAUGCGCAGAUAUCAGGAGGAACACCGAUGGCGAAGGCAGGUCUCUGGGCAUUAACUGACGCUGAGGAGCGAAAAGCAUGGGGAGCGAACAGG
rnacentral:rRNA from 1 species